AACCAAAAAUACAACUCU
rnacentral:rRNA from 1 species